rnacentral:rRNA from 1 species
GACGUAGGGGGCGAGCGUUGUCCGGAUUUAUUGGGCGUAAAGCGUGCGUAGGCGGCUGCGCAAGUCGGGUGUGAAACCCCGGGGCUCAACCCCGGAACUGCAUCCGAUACUGCGUGGCUAGAGGUAGGUAGGGGAGAUCGGAAUUCCUGGUGUAGCGGUGAAAUGCGCAGAUAUCAGGAGGAAUACCAGCGGCGAAGGCGGCGCUCUGGGCCGGUACUGACGCUGAGGAGCGAAAGCUAGGGGAGCAAACGGG